rnacentral:rRNA from 1 species
UACGGAGGGUGCAAGCGUUAAUCGGAAUUACUGGGCGUAAAGCGCGCGUAGGCGGUUUGAUAAGUCGAUUGUGAAAUCCCCGGGCUCAACCUGGGAAUUGCAGUCGAGACUGUCAGACUAGAGUGUGGGAGAGGGUGGUGGAAUUCCCGGUGUAGCGGUGAAAUGCGUAGAGAUCGGGAAGGAAGGCCGGUGGCGAAGGCGGCGCUCUGGAACCAUUUCUGACGCUGAGGCUCGAAAGCGUGGGGAGCAAACAGG